rnacentral:rRNA from 1 species
CCCGCUGAAUUUAAGCAUAUUAAUAAGCGGAGGAAAAGAAACUAACAAGGAUUCCCCUAGUAAUGGCGAAUGAAGCGGGAACAGCUCAAAUUUAAAAUCUCCGUUGCUUGCAACGGCGAAUUGUAGUUUCGAGAAGCACUUUCUCGGCGGAUCCGAGGUCGUCCAAGUUGCUUGGAACAGCACGUCGUAGAGGGUGAAAACCCCGUCUGCGGCGACCUCGGCCGUUCACGAUGUGCUUUCGACGAGUCGGGUUGUUUGGGAAUGCAGCCCAAAAUGGGUGGUAAACUCCAUCUAAAGCUAAAUAUUGGCACGAGACCGAUAGCGAACAAGUNCCGUGAGGGAAAGAUGAAAAGCACUUUGAAAAGAGAGUUAAAAAGUACGUGAAACCGUUAAAAGGGAAACGAAUGGGGUUAGCAAUGCGUCGUGCGAGAUUCAGCCGGUGGGUGGGCCAGGCGGGCGGUUGGCGGAUCUGAAUGGACCGCUGCCGUUCGGGUUGGUUUCCCGACCGUCGCACUUCUCGCAGGCGCGCGCCAACGUCGGUUAGGGCUGGGUUUCAAAGGCGGUGGAAAGGUAGGUUUGGACUCUCGGGCCCGAACUGUUACAGUCCUCCGUUUGUCAUGGCCCGGACCUGACCGAGGAGCUUGCGGUGCAUGCCCUUUCGGCUAGGGUCCCGUCUUCCCGGUCGGUCGUCGAAUGCGGUGGACUGCGUGCAGUGCGCCGCGACUGCUGCCGGUCGCGAGGGCGGUGAUUUCGUACUAUGCACCCACGACGUUGGCGAUCAUAUGGCCUCAUCCGACCCGUCUUGAAACACGG